rnacentral:rRNA from 1 species
AGAGUUUGAUUAUGGCUCAGAAUCAACGCUGGCGGCGUGCCUAACACAUGCAAGUCGAACGAGAAAGUGGAGCAAUCCAUGAGUACAGUGGCGUACGGGUGAGUAACACGUGACUAACCUACCCUCGAGUGGGGAAUAACCUCGGGAAACCGGGGCUAACACCGCAUAACAUCUACGGAUCAAAUGCGCAAGCAGCUUGAGGAGGGGGUCGCGGCCGAUUAGCUAGUUGGCGGGGUAAUGGCCCACCAAGGCAAUGAUCGGUAGCCGGCCUGAGAGGGCGCACGGCCACACUGGAACUGAAACACGGUCCAGACUCCUACGGGAGGCAGCAGUCGGGAAUCUUCCGCAAUGGGCGAAAGCCUGACGGAGCGACGCCGCGUGAGCGAUGAAGGCCUUCGGGUUGUAAAGCUCUGUGGGGAGAGAAGAAUAAGUUCAGGCGAAUACCCUGAAUGAUGACGGUAUCUCCUUAGCAAGCACCGGCUAACUCUGUGCCAGCCGCCGCGGUAA